rnacentral:rRNA from 1 species
CAGAGGGGGCAAGCGUUAUUCGGAAUUAUUGGGCGUAAAGGGCGCGUAGGCGGCUUUGCAAGUGACGGGUGAAAUCCCUCGGCUUAACCGAGGAACUGCCUGACAGACUGCAUGGCUUGAGACCAGGAGAGGUGAGUGGAAUUCCCAGUGUAGCGGUGAAAUGCGUAGAUAUUGGGAGGAACACCAGUGGCGAAGGCGGCUCACUGGACUGGUACUGACGCUGAGGCGCGAAAGCGUGGGGAGCAAACAGGAUUAGAUACCCUGGUAGUCCACGCCGUAAACGAUGAGUGCUUGGUGUAGCGGGUAUCGACCCCUGCUGUGCCGAAGUCAACACAUUAAGCACUCCGCCUGGGGAGUACGGUCGCAAGACUG